rnacentral:rRNA from 1 species
GACUACAGGGGUAUCUAAUCCUGUUCGAUCCCCACGCUUUCGUGCAUCAGCGUCAGUAACGGCCCAGUAAGCUGCCUUCGCAAUCGGUGUUCUGUGUAAUAUCUAAGCAUUUCACCGCUACAUUACACAUUCCGCCUACCUUGACCAUACUCAAGACUAACAGUAUCAACGGCAGUUCCACAGUUAAGCUGCAGGUUUUCACCACUGACUUAUUAAUCCGCCUACGCACCCUUUAAACCCAAUAAAUCCGGAUAACGCUCGCAUCCUCCGUAUUACCGCGGCUGCUGGCACGGAGUUAGCCGAUGCUUAUUCCCAAGGUACCGUCAGUCCCGCACUCGUGCGGGAGGUUCGCCCCCUGGAAAAGCAGUUUACAACGCAUAGCGCCUUCUUCCUGCACGCGGGAUGGCUGGUUCAGGCUUGCGCCCAUUGACCAAUAUUCCUCACUGCAGCCACCCGUAGG